GCCGAGAGGAGGAGCAUCUAAUUCGUAAUGAUGGGGUCAGGUGUUCGAGUCACCUAAGCGGCACCA
rnacentral:tRNA from 1 species